rnacentral:rRNA from 1 species
GACGAACGCUGGCGGCGUGCUUAACACAUGCAAGUCGAACGGAAAGGCCCUGCUUUUGUUGGGUUCUCGAGUGGCGAACGGGUGAGUAACACGUGAGUAACCUGCCUUUGACUUUGGGAUAACUUCAGGAAACUGGGGCUAAUACCGGAUAGGAGCUCCUGCUGCAUGGUGGGGGUUGGAAAGUUUCGGCGGUUGGGGAUGGACUCGCGGCUUAUUAGCUUGUUGGUGGGGUAGUGGCUUACCAAGGCUUUGACGGGUAGCCGGCCUGAGAGGGUGACCGGCCACAUUAGGACUGAGAUACGGCCCAGACUCCUACGGGAGGCAGCAGUGGGGAAUAUUGCACAAUGGGCGGAAGCCUGAUGCAGCAACGCCGCGUGCGGGAUGACGGCCUUCGGGUUGUAAACCGCUUUCGCCUGUGACGAAGCGUGAGUGACGGUAAUGGGUAAAGAAGCACCGGCUAACUACGUG